rnacentral:rRNA from 1 species
UACGUAGGGUGCGAGCGUUAAUCGGAAUUACUGGGUGUAAAGCGUGCGCAGGCGGUUUUGUAAGCCAGAUGUGAAAUCCCCGGGCUUAACCUGGGAAUGGCAUUUGGGACUGCAAGGCUUGAGUGUGGCAGAGGAGACUGGAAUUCCUGGUGUAGCAGUGAAAUGCGUAGAUAUCAGGAGGAACACCGAUGGCGAAGGCAGGUCUCUGGGCUAACACUGACGCUCAUGCACGAAAGCGUGGGGAGCAAACAGG